rnacentral:rRNA from 1 species
AAGCGUUAUCCGGAUUUAUUGGGUUUAAAGGGUCCGUAGGCGGAUUAAUCAGUCAGUGGUGAAAUCUCAUAGCUUAACUAUGAAACUGCCAUUGAUACUGUUAGUCUUGAGUGAUGUUGAAGUUGCUGGAAUGUGUAGUGUAGCGGUGAAAUGCUUAGAUAUUACGCAGAACACCAAUUGCGAAGGCAGGUGACUAAACAUUAACUGACGCUGAUGGACGAAAGCGUGGGGAGCGAACAGGAUUAGAUACCCUGGUAGUCCACGCCGUAAACGAUGGAUACUUGCUGUUGGGUUUUCGGAUUCAGUGGCUAAGCGAAAGUUAUAAGUAUCCCACCUGGGGAGUACGUUCGCAAGAAUGAAACUCAAAGGA